GACGAACGCUGGCGGCGUGCCUAAUACAUGCAAGUUGAGCGCUGAAGGUUGGUACUUGUACCAACUGGAUGAGCAGCGAACGGGUGAGUAACGCGUGGGGAAUCUGCCUUUGAGCGGGGGACAACAUUUGGAAACGAAUGCUAAUACCGCAUAAAAACUUUAAACACAAGUUUUAAGUUUGAAAGAUGCAAUUGCAUCACUCAAAGAUGAUCCCUCGUUGUAUUAGCUAGUUGGUGAGGUAAAGGCUCACCAAGGCGAUGAUACAUAGCCGACCUGAGAGGGUGAUCGGCCACAUUGGGACUGAGACAAGGCCCAAACUCCUACGGGAGGGAGCAGUAGGGAAUCUUCGGCAAUGGACGAAAGUCUGACCGAGCAACGCCGCGGGAGUGAAGAAGGUUUUCGGAUCGUAAAACUCUGUUGGUAGAGAAGAAAGUUGGUGAGAGUGGAAAGCUCAUCAAGUGACGGUAACUACCCAGAAAGCGACGGCUAACUACGUG
rnacentral:rRNA from 1 species